rnacentral:rRNA from 1 species
UACAGGGGGGGCAAGCGUUGUUCGGAAUUACUGGGCGUAAAGGGCUCGUAGGCGGCCAACUAAGUCGGAUGUGAAAUCCCCAGGCUCAACCUGGGAACUGCAUCCGAUACUGGAUGGCUUGAAUCCGGGAGAGGGAUGCAGAAUUCCUGGUGUAGCGGUGAAAUGCGCAGAUAUCAGGAAGAACACCCGUGGCGAAGGCGGCUCUCUGGGACGGUACUGACGCUGAGACGCGAAAGCGUGGGGAGCGAACAGG